UUGCCCAGGGCUAACACUGGCAUUGCAGCAGAGGAUGGUCCUUAGGAUUGGCAACGACCGCUGUAGGACAAGGUCUCGAUUUUACAAGGUGACUUACUCAGAACAUGCUUAAAAAACACAGCUGCAGCCUCUUACUGCAGCCCUGCAAGCGGGCAGUGCCCUGCCACACAGCAAACAAGCACCAGCUGCACUUCUGCUUGACCAAAACAUCAGGCUCUGACUUCGAGGUGUUUGUUACCACUUUGUAAAGGUUAGAAAAAAACACUGAACCCUACCUGGUAAGGCACUCCUUUGAAUGUCAGCGGGUUCUGUUUGCACAGAAUCGUGUCCGUGUAUGCAAGCAGUCCUUAGCACGCUAACUUAUACCCUUGGACGUGUGGAAGAAGAACCACAAGCUGGAAAUUCCUUGGAGAUGAGGGAGUGAACAAACGCCCGCUCCAUUCAGGGCUACUGCUCCAGAUGCCUGGUCUGUAAGAAUAGCAUCAUAAAGAUGUUUCCCUAACCUCCCUUUCCAACCGAAUUAAAAACAAUAAUGAAUGGUGAACGUUUUAAUUGGUCUAUUAAUUUACUGCCAAA